rnacentral:lncRNA from 10 species
GUUGUUGGCUUCCAUCAGGGGUGGUCAUUUCCAAUCAGACACCUAAGAACUCCUGCUAAUGGGCAAUGAUGGAGGCACAUUCUAGAUGGAGGCACAUUCUAGAAACGCUUGAAACUGUGUGUUGCUUUGGACAGCUGUUUCAGGAAACAUUGCAGCGUUAUAAGAGAAAUUAUAGACUAUUUGUUGAAGCUCAGCAUGUCCAUCUCCCUGCUUUGAAGAAGGAUGUUGGGAACUGACUGUAAGGAAGACAGGAUUGGAGAACCAGGUUUAGAAGAGAAAAGGCAGUGCCAGAAGUUUUUGAUUGGAGAAAACUACAGGGUAAUGUUGCACAAGAACCAUUGCUGGACUGCAUCAUUGCUUACCCAACAUGACUCAGCCUCGGUAUUGCCACUGACUCACGGAGCUCCUAAUAGAGGAGAAUUAGUGUCACAGAUCGACUGGAAAACCAAUCCACAUGAAGCCAGGAAGAGAAAUGAAGCUGCUGUUGCUGAAUCCAUAGCUGGCCUUAAUGAUGCUGGCUAGGAAAGACGGCCCAUUCUGGGGGAGAUAAGUCAAUUUUGCAGUGUCUGUUAUUAUCAUAGUGACUAUUGUCUUCCUGUUUUAUAUUUAUUUACCUAAAUUGUUUUGGAAAGACUCAGAGGUAUAGAGACAUGCCUACUUUUUGCAAAAAUCAUCACACUGUCAUGGAGGUAGUCCAGGCUAUGGGGCUCUUAUUUGUUGGUGUCUUGGGCAAGUUGCUUGACCUCUGAUCAUUGUUUGCUUAUUCUUAUAUGGCCCCUGUAUUUCAGACUCACUCUGUGUCAGGCAUUUGUUUACCUUUGUAGCAAGCUCAGGAGGAAAAUACCAUUGCCC